rnacentral:rRNA from 1 species
GACGAACGCUGGCGGCGUGCCUAAUGCAUGCAAGUUGAGCGAUGAAGAUUGGUGCUUGCACCAAUUUGAAGAGCAGCGAACGGGUGAGUAACGCGUGGGGAAUCUGCCUUUGAGCGGGGGACAACAUUUGGAAACGAAUGCUAAUACCGCAUAACAACUUUAAACAUAAGUUUUAAGUUUGAAAGAUGCAAUUGCAUCACUCAAAGAUGAUCCCGCGUUGUAUUAGCUAGUUGGUGAGGUAAAGGCUCACCAAGGCGAUGAUACAUAGCCGACCUGAGAGGGUGAUCGGCCACAUUGGGACUGAGACACGGCCCAAACUCCUACGGGAGGCGGCAGUAGGGAAUCUUCGGCAAUGGACGAAAGUCUGACCGAGCAACGCCGCGUGAGUGAAGAAGGUUUUCGGAUCGUAAAACUCUGUUGGUAGAGAAGAACGUUGGUGAGAGUGGAAAGCUCAUCAAGUGACGGUAACUACCCAGAAAGGGACGGCUAACUACGUG